UACAGAGGUCUCAAGCGUUGUUCGGAUUCAUUGGGCGUAAAGGGUGCGUAGGCGGCGCGGUAAGUCGGGUGUGAAAUCUCGGAGCUUAACUCCGAAACUGCAUUCGAUACUGCCGUGCUUGAGGACUGGAGAGGAGACUGGAAUUUACGGUGUAGCGGUGAAAUGCGUAGAUAUCGUAAGGAAGACCGGUGGCGAAGGCGGGUCUCUGGACAGUUCCUGACGCUGAGGCACGAAGGUCAGGGGAGCAAACGGG
rnacentral:rRNA from 1 species